rnacentral:rRNA from 1 species
GACGAACGCUGGCGGCGUGCUUAACACAUGCAAGUCGAACGGAAAGGCCCUGCUUUUGUGGGGUGCUCGAGUGGCGAACGGGUGAGUAACACGUGAGUAACCUGCCCUUGACUUUGGGAUAACUUCAGGAAACUGGGGCUAAUACCGGAUAGGAGCUCCUGCUGCAUGGUGGGGGUUGGAAAGUUUCGGCGGUUGGGGAUGGACUCGCGGCUUAUCAGCUUGUUGGUGGGGUAGUGGCUUACCAAGGCUUUGACGGGUAGCCGGCCUGUGAGGGUGACCGGCCACAUUGGGACUGAGAUACGGCCCAGACUCCUACGGUGGGCAGCAGUGGGGAAUAUUGCACAAUGGGCGGAAGCCUGAUGCAGCAACGCCGCGUGCGGGAUGACGGCCUUCGGGUUGUAAACCGCUUUCGCCUGUGACGAAGCGUGAGUGACGGUAAUGGGUAAAGAAGCACCGGCUAACUACGUG